rnacentral:rRNA from 1 species
GACGAACGCUGGCGGCGUGCCUAAUACAUGCAAGUCGAACGCAGUGGGGACGGGAGAGUAACACGUGGGUAACCUCCCAUCAGAGGGGAUAACACUUGGAAACAGGUGCUAAACCGAUCCUGAUGGAUGGACCCGCGGUGCAUUAGCUAGUUGGUGAGGUAACGGCUCACCAAGGCCACGAUGCAUAGCCGACCUGAGAGGGUGAUCGGCCCAACUGGGACUGAGUCAAGGGCCAGACUCCGAAGGGAGGCAGCAGUAGGGAAGCUUCGGCAAUGGGGGGAAACCUGACCGAGCAACGCCGCGUGAGUGAAGAAGGUUUUCGGAUCGUAAAGCUCUGUUGUUAAGGAAGCGGUACUUAACCAGAAAGGGACGGCUAACUACGUGCCAGCAGCCGCGGUAAUAC